GAUGAACGCUGGCGGCGUGCCUAAUACAUGCAAGUCGAGCGAACAGACGAGAAGCUUGCUCCUCUGACGUUAGCGGCGGACGGGUGAGUAACACGUGGAUAACCUACCUAUAAGACUGGGAUAACUUCGGGAAACCGGAGCUAAUACCGGAUAAUAUAUUGAACCGCAUGGUUCAAUAGUGAAAGACGGUUUUGCUGUCACUUAUAGAUGGAUCCGCGCUGCAUUAGCUAGUUGGUAAGGUAACGGCUUACCAAGGCAACGAUGCAUAGCCGACCUGAGAGGGUGAUCGGCCACACUGGAACUGAGACACGGUCCAGACUCCUACGGGAAGCAGCAGUAGGGAAUCUUCCGCAAUGGGCGAAAGCCUGACGGAGCAACGCCGCGUGAGUGAUGAAGGUCUUCGGAUCGUAAAACUCUGUUAUUAGGGAAGAACAAAUGUGUAAGUAACUAUGCACGUCUUGACGGUACCUAAUCAGAAAGCCACGGCUAACUACGUG
rnacentral:rRNA from 1 species